rnacentral:rRNA from 1 species
AGCUCCAAUAGCGUAUAUUAAAAUUGUUGCGGUUAAAACGCUCGUAGUUGGAUAUUUGUUGAAGAAUGUCGGUCCACCCAAGCGGUGCGUACUCGAUAUGUCUUCGACAUCUUACUGGGGACAGUAAUUCCACUUUAUUGCGGGGUUACACGAUCCAGAACUUUUACUUUGAGGAAAUGAGAGUGUUUCAAGCAGGCCUAGCCAUGAAUACGUUAGCAUGGAAUAAUAGCAUAGGACCUUGUGUCGUAGCUGUUGGUUGACGACAUAAGGUAAUAAAAAUAGGGAUAGUUGGGGGCAUUCGUAUUGCAAUGUCAGAGGUGAAAUUCUUGGAUUUUUGCAAGACGGACUACUGCGAAAGCAUUUGCCAAGGAUGUUUUUA